GACAGAGGGUGCAAACGUUGUUCGGAAUCACUGGGCAUAAAGCGCACGUAGGCGGUCCACUAAGUCUCAUGUGAAAUCCCCCGGCUCAACCGGGGAAUUGCGCGAGAUACUGGUGGGCUAGAGAUCGGUAGGGGUGAGUGGAACUCCAGGUGGAGCGGUGAAAUGCGUAGAUAUCUGGAGGAACACCGGUGGCGAAAGCGGCUCACUGGACCGACACUGACGCUGAGGUGCGAAAGCUAGGGUAGCAAACGGG
rnacentral:rRNA from 1 species